rnacentral:rRNA from 1 species
UACGGGGGGGGCAAGCGUUGUUCGGAAUUACUGGGCGUAAAGGGCUCGUAGGUGGCCAACUAAGUCAUACGUGAAAUCCCUCAGCUUUACUGGGGAACUGCGUCUGAUACUGGAUGGCUUGAGUUUGGGAGAGGGAUGCGGAAUUCCAGGUGUAGCGGUGAAAUGCGUAGAUAUCUGGAGGAACACCGGUGGCGAAGGCGGCAUCCUGGACCAAUACUGACACUGAGGAGCGAAAGCCAGGGGAGCAAACGGG